rnacentral:rRNA from 1 species
CCUACGGGUGGCAGCAGUGGGGAAUAUUGCGCAAUGGGCGAAAGCCUGACGCAGCGACGCCGCGUGAGGGAUGAAGGUCUUCGGAUCGUAAACCUCUGUCAGCAGGGAAGAACGGUCACUGUGCUAAUCAGCAGUGAAUUGACGUUACCUGCAAAGGAAGCACCGGCUAAAUCCGUGCCAGCAGCCGCGGUAAUACGGAGGGUGCGAACUUUAAUCGGAAUUACUGGGCGUAAAGCGCUCGUAGGCGGUAUGUCAAGUCAAGGGUGAAAUCCCCGCGCUCAACGUGGGAACUGCCGUUGAAACUGGCAAACUGGAGUGUGUGAGAGGAUAGUGGAAUGCCAGGUGUAGGAGUGAAAGCCGUAGAUAUCUGGAGGAACAUCAGUGGCGAAGGCGACUAUCUGGCACAUAACUGACGCUGAGGAGCGAAAGCGUGGGUAGCAAACAGGAUUAGAUACCCGAGUAGUC